rnacentral:rRNA from 1 species
UAAUUGAAGAGUUUGAUCAUGGCUCAGAUUGAACGCUGGCGGCAGGCCUAACACAUGCAAGUCGAGCGGUAACAGGAGAAAGCUUGCUUUCUUGCUGACGAGCGGCGGACGG